GUCGAGCGAAUCGAYGGGAGCUUGCUCCCUGAGAUUAGCGGCGGACGGGUGAGUAACACGUGGGCAACCUGCCUAUAAGACUGGGAUAACUUCGGGAAACCGGAGCUAAUACCGGAUACGUUCUUUUCUCGCAUGAGAGAAGAUGGAAAGACGGUUUACGCUGUCACUUAUAGAUGGGCCCGCGGCGCAUUAGCUAGUUGGUGAGGUAAUGGCUCACCAAGGCGACGAUGCGUAGCCGACCUGAGAGGGUGAUCGGCCACACUGGGACUGAGACACGGCCCAGACUCCUACGGGAGGCAGCAGUAGGGAAUCUUCCGCAAUGGACGAAAGUCUGACGGAGCAACGCCGCGUGAACGAAGAAGGCCUUCGGGUCGUAAAGUUCUGUUGUUAGGGAAGAACAAGUACCAGAGUAACUGCUGGUACCUUGACGGUACCUAACCAGAAAGCCACGGCUAACUACGUGCCA
rnacentral:rRNA from 2 species